UACGUAGGGUGCAAGCGUUAAUCGGAAUUACUGGGCGUAAAGCGUGCGCAGGCGGUUGUGCAAGACCGAUGUGAAAGCCCCGGGCUUAACCUGGGAAUGGCAUUGGUGACUGCACGGCUAGAGUGUGUCAGAGGGGGGUAGAAUUCCACGUGUAGCAGUGAAAUGCGUAGAGAUGUGGAGGAAUACCGAUGGCGAAGGCAGCCCCCUGGGAUAACACUGACGCUCAUGCACGAAAGCGUGGGGAUCAAACAGG
rnacentral:rRNA from 1 species